rnacentral:rRNA from 1 species
AUGAGUCAUGGAGUGGUUUGGCCGUUUCGUGACUAUGAAAUUCGUUGCGUAUUUUGGGAGUCCGUGGGGCCCCGAGUGAUUUCACAGGGUGCCCCACAGCUAACACCGAAGAAAAGCAAACCUACUCCGUACAUAAUUAGUGUGACUACGAAGCUAAUUGGGUAUACAACGGUAAACUACUGGGCGUUGUUUAUCAGAGGUUUGACCAGCCAUGGAGGGAGCGAAGAAAGAGCGCACGAUGGUGAUAAAAUAUCAAGCCAUCUCGAUUUCCGCUGUCCCCCAGAAAUAAUUCUAAAAACAAGGGAUAGAAUUGGCAUCUUCCUGCCACUCUCUUCCCACCAGGCCAGCAGUGAGACCAAACCAUGGCAGCACCAGUGGCCAUGUGUCGCGCUCGAUGGCCCUCACCACCAUGUCCGCCGAGAUGGCGUCGCAGGGCCCAGUGGCAGUGAGCAACAACGCCGUGGUUCUGAGGCGGUAGGACUCUGCCUCCAUCGCCGGCGUGCUGACCACCGAGCUGAUGGACGUCAUCGGCCUACGAUGCGCCGCCCCCGGAAUGUACUACUCCUCCAUUGGACCUUGGGGCGGCACCGGAGCACUCGGCGGGGGUGCGGCAGGGCCUUCCUUUGGUGCCUGCAGAUAGCGGUGGACGGCGGGGGUGCGCGACCUGGCGUGGGGGGUGCGCAGCAUGGCAGAAGUGUAGCAGAUUCGAGGGUCGCGGCACUCGAAGAAUUUAUGCCGGGGGGCGAGGCAUCGGUAGCAGCAGUUCCCAAAUCUCCUCUUGAAGGCCUCUGCAGCUGCGGAUGCCGGGCGUUCAUGGUGAGAUCCCGCCGAAUCCUUUGGCCGCUGCCGCGGGCAAUCUAUCUGGCGCCUCGCCAGGCUCCUCUCACGCCUCGAGAGCACCCGCGUCCACUCGCGGCUCGCUGUGGCGGGGUCAGGCGGUACGGGCGGCGUGCAAAUCUGAUGCCCAGACGCAGGAGAUCCCUCGCGUGCCUGACGAGCAGCGGUGCCCGGAGCGGGGCUGGCGUCCACCACCGCAGGAUCCACAAUAAUGGAGUUCAGGCGCGGCCUGGCCGAAUUGGCCACAUCAGCCCAAGAGCGGCGGAGGAGCUCUGGCAGCUCGGACUGAGUGGUGUGCACCUGCCCGGGAAAGGAAAGGGAGGGGGGCGCACUUACUCGAGAUGCAGCCUCCUCCGCCAUGGCGGACAGAGCCACACACGGAAGGAUUCUCCCGGAGACCAGGUCCACCCAGCCCUCGGGCGGACCGACGACUGCCUCCCGGAGAGCGAUACAGGGCAGCACGCGCCCUGA